rnacentral:misc_RNA from 1 species
AACGCACCUUGCGCCCUUUGGUAUUCCGAAGGGCAUGCCUGUUUGAGUGUCAUUAAAUUAUCAACCUUGCUUGCUUUUACUAGCUCGCUCGGCUUGGAUGUGAGGGCUUUGCUGGCUUCCUUCAGUGGAUGGUCUGCUCCCUUUAAAUGCAUUAGUGGGAUCUCUUGUGGACCGUCACUUGGUGUGAUAAUUAUCUAUGCCAGUUGACUUUGAAGCAAAAUUAUGGGAACCCGCUUAUAACCGUCCGCAAGGACAACUCUUGACAUUUUGACCUCAAAUCAGGUAGGACUACCCGCUGAACUUAA